rnacentral:lncRNA from 1 species
CAGCGCCGAGGAAGACCCGAAGCUCCUCCUGCACAUGGGGAUCUGAGGUUGCCACCGCAGGCCUGGCACGAUUAGGCCUUGAUGGCCCGCCUAGCCAUCCCGGGCUGCUCUGGACAGGUACCUGGAGAUGCUUUCAACUGAAGUAAUGAAGGCAGUGUCGUGCUGUCGAGAGAAAGGUGGAUCCCAACAACAGGAAACUACCUAAAUCACCGACCAGUUCUGAUGCUGCGGGCGUAGGGUUGCCUCGCCCCUCGCCGCCUCCGCUGCUGCCACUGUCGCCGCCAAGGAAAGAGCCCUGCGAUUGUGCCCAGUCGAGCCCUCCUCCGCAACCUGUACCAGACACCACCCUAACCCCAUGGUGGAUGAAGAGGGCUCCAGGCUCCGGAAAGCCAGGUCAAGCCCUUUAGCUAACCUGAAUGUCCAUGCUUCCAUACUCUGCUCUUGGCCAAGGAAGAAAAGAAGAAAGAAAAGAGAAACCAGGCCUGGACUCCCUGAUUAAACACAGCCCAGCACUCCAGGCUGGCGAACCCGGUGGCGGCUCCUUGCACCAUUGACCUCAGGCCAGACACCUCAGCGCCGACAAUGGGACCUAAGGCUUCCGGCUAAGUUUACCCAGGGCUGGGCAGGAAACCAGAUCCGUGGAGGAGUACUGGGGCCCUUUCCUAGCAGUGGGUCCCAGAGGCAGCAAACCCAGCCCAUUCAGGACUUGACACUGAGAAAGAUCUCAACCUCUAUAGAAUUUUAGCGAUAUGGCUUUUUCCCCCAGAAAACAAGCAAACAAACACCAAGCAAACAGACAAAGAAACAAACAAACAAAAAAAGCCAGAACAAACCAGCCCUGCACAGACGAAACGGCCUGGGAGAUGGCGAGUGUGGGAGGGAGAAAGGGGCUCCGGCACAGGUGUGAGUUCUGGGGCAGAGGCUGGAGGCAGAGGAUGGGUCCAGGCGCUCAGGAAGCGAAAAGACGUUGUCUGGAAGUUUCAUCAGGAAAAAUUAAAGUUGGCUGUGAGCUCCCGGAUUCGGUUUUCUCGGUUCAUUUUCUUCAGUUUCAUCCUGCGAUUCUGAAACCAGAUUUUCACUUGUCUGUCCGUGAGGUGGACGCUACGGCUGAUCUCUAGGCGCCGCUCUCGAGUAAGGUACAUGUUGAAUAGAAACUCCUUCUCCAGCUCCAGCGUCUGGUGCUUCGUGUAAGGGCAGCGUUUCUUCCGGCCGCUCUUUGCUGUGAGCCAGUUGGCUGCAUUUUCGCCUUUGGAACUGCCUGGAGUUUAAGAGAAUACAGAGGGGAAGGUUAAGUCGAGGCCACUCGGGCUGUAUGAGGGGGGUGAAUUCCGGGUCUUUCCCAUUUAGUGGGAUGCCCGAAGUCAUAGAGAGAGGGUUAUGCCCUCCCUCCUUUUGCAAGAAAUCCCUCCAAAAAGGCAUGACAAAAUCGGCCUCAAAUCCACACCCGGUCCUCCCAAUUUACAUUUUCCUCUACUUUUUUCCAGGCACCUGUUUUAGCACCACGCCGCGGGGCGCUGAGAGAAUGAAAGGCCGGAGGAGGCGAGGCCGUACAUCUUGAACUUAACGCCUUUCUCUGCCUCUCACCCAGGGGCAGGGAAGCAUUUCCUGCCGGCCCCCAAGCUGGGGUAAGGGAAUGCUUCUUUGGACGAGAGGCUGGCAGCUCCACUGGCUUACCCUAGCCUCCUAGAUCGCCCCAGGCUAGAGGAGAAGGGCAUAGUUGGGCCAAUGGGGAAGUUCCAAAAACCCGAUUCUGGGGUCAAGGGCUUGGGUUUGGCUCCUGUCCCUCCAAGUAACCGGAGUGUGAAGCUGGGCAGCACCAGAUUCCAGGAGAAGGGGAAUGGCCAUUCCUAGGUUUUCAGCUCUGGGCCCAAGCGUUCCGGCCGAAUUUGUCUUUUCUUUUUUCU